rnacentral:rRNA from 1 species
UGAGGAAUAUUGCACAAUGGCGGAAACUCUGAUGCAGCAACGCCGCGUGGAGGAUGACGCAUUUCGGUGUGUAAACUCCUUUUAAGAGGAAAGAUAAUGACGGUACCUCUUGAAUAAGCACCGGCUAACUCCGUGCCAGCAGCCGCGGUAAUACGGAGGGUGCAAGCGUUACUCGGAAUCACUGGGCGUAAAGGGUGCGUAGGCUGGCUUCUAAGUCAGAUAUGAAAUCCAAUGGCUUAACCAUUGAACUGCAUUUGAAACUGGAAGCCUAGAGUUCAGAAGGGGCAGAUGGAAUUAGUGGUGUAGGGGUAAAAUCCGUAGAUAUCACUAGGAAUAUCAAAAGCGAAGGCGAUCUGCUGGGAUGAUACUGACGCUGAGGCACGAAAGCGUGGGGAGCAAACAG